CCUACGGGGGGCAGCAGUGGGGAAUAUUGCACAAUGGGGGAACCCCUGAUGCAGCAACGCCGCGUGAGUGAAGAAGUAUUUCGGUAUGUUAAGCUCUAUCAGCAGGGAAGAAGCUGACGGUACCUGACCAAGAAGCCCCGGCUAGCUACGUGCCAGCAGCGGCGGUAAUACGUAGGGGGCAAGCGUUAUCCGGAUUUACUGGGUGUAAAGGGAGCGCAGACGGCAGUGCAAGUCUGGAGUGAAAGGCCGGGGCCCAACCCCGGAACUGCUCUGGAAACUGGGCGGCUAGAGUACUGGGAGGGCAGGCGGAAUUCGUAGUGUAGCGGUGAAAUGCGUAGAUAUGAGGAGGAACCCCAGUGGCGAAGGCAGCCUGCUGGACAGUAACUGACGUUGAGGCUCGAAAGCGUGGGGAGCAAACAGGAUUAGAUACCCCUGUAGUC
rnacentral:rRNA from 1 species